CGUUUAUUUAACCAAAGCACAUAAACACCCAAAGUUGAUUCUUAACGGUCACGGUUAUCACAUAGCUUUACGCCAAUCAACCAGGUCAAGAUGGAGGUGUAAAAAGCAUAGAAGUAAUAGAUGUCUUGCUUUCUUAUAUACCACCACCAACGAGGGAAAAAAUACCAUUUAUGUGUAUAAUGAUCAUAAUCACCAACCCGAUGAAUACCCGGAUCCAGAAGUAUUACAGUCCCAGAAUGUGUUUGUUGUUAGAGCUGUAAAGGGAGAUAUACCUCCACUGUAAAAAGUGUUUUAGAAGUUCUUAAAAAUAAAGGUAUGUGUUUUCCAAAAUCUAAGAUUCCUGAUCCAGCACAUCAAGAAGAAGGUAUAAUUUAUAUAAGACAAGGAUUAAAAUAUCCGAAGCUUAUUGUCGAUUUUUAUGAAUAUACAAUUCAUCGAAAAACUCCAGAAAAAACCAGAUGGACGUGUGUGAAUUACAGACGAAGCAAAUGUAAAUCUGUCCUUUAUACAUAUGGAAAAACUGUUAUGAUUCGACACGAACACAACCAUGCUUCAGACAUUACAACCAUUGAACACACGCUUUCACCUCAAAAAGUUAUUAUAUAUAGAGAGUAAACAUGUCACAAAUUCUAGAAAAGAGAAUAAAUUUGUAUAUUA